rnacentral:lncRNA from 1 species
AUACAAGUACUUCGGGGUAUUCCCCGGCCAAAUAAUACAAUUAAAUCCAAAUGCGAUAAACAAAACCAUUCAACACAUAUUCCAAACAUUCCACAAUUCACCAUUUCUAAAUUUGCCUACCCAAACCUAAGAUUUGCCUAUCAAUUCUCGGAAUAACACAUGAUACUAUCGAGUUCAAUGACAUUAAUAACCAUUUCAAAUUUAACAACAAUUGAUGAAUCAAAACACAAUAAUAUUCAUUUUUAUCAACUUUCAAUUCCCGUCUUCCCCAAUUUCAUUGUCAAAACUAAUUCACCAAUUCUUC